CCGGCGGCCCGACACAUGCAGCCGAGUUGGCUGGCUCGGAAGGGGGACAGAGUUGACCAUGACAGCGAGUGUGGCCAAGGUGACAGCUGCACGCCCGGAGCCAAGCGCGGCGUGGGCUGAAGCCCGGCGGCGGGUACGCCAACGCCGCGAGGACAUGCUGCGCCAUCCUGCAUUUCUGUCCAAGCAGCUCCCUGCCGAACCAGCAGACGACGACGGCGUCGCGGCCGUCUACGACAUCGCGAUUGCGCGUCGGCGCCGACCUGCUUGAGCGGGUCCCGGCGGGUCAACGUCGGCGGCUGCCGGGUAAACCGGCAAUCGACGACCGGGCCUUGGCGGGCGCGUCGCGUUC
rnacentral:ncRNA from 20 species